GACUAAGGUGAGUAGUCACUCUUAAAAAAGUUAGCAGCUUUUUAAAACCCUAG
rnacentral:tRNA from 1 species